UUCCGGUUGAUCCUGCCGGACCCGACUGCUAUUUGGGUGAGAAUAAGCCAUGCGAGUUGAAUGGGAUACCUAAAUUUUCCAUAGCAAACUGCUCAGUAACACAUGAUCAACUUACCCUAUAGAGAAAAAUAACCUCGGGAAACUGAGGAUAAUGUUUCAUAGUUGAAAAGGCUUGGAAAAGUUUUUCAAUUAAAAGGAUAAAAAAAAUGGUUUUUAUCCGCUAUAGGAUAGGAUCGUGGUUGAUUAUGGUUGUUGGUGAGGUAAUGGCUCACCAAGCCGAUAAUCGAUAGGGGCCGUGAGAGCGGGAGCCCCGAGAUGGGUACUGAGACAACGACCCAGGCCUUACGAGGCGCAGCAGGCGCGAAACCUCCGCAAUACACGAAAGUGUGACGGGGUUACCCAAAGUGUUCAGUUUUGAACUGUGGUAGGUGAGUAAUGUCCCCUACUAGAAAGGAGAGGGCAAGGCUGGUGCCAGCCGCCGCGGUAAAACCAGCUCUUCAAGUGGUCGGGAUAAUUAUUGGGCUUAAAGUGUCCGUAGCCGGUUUAGUAAGUUCCUGGUAAAAUCGGGUAGCUUAACUAUCUGUAUGCUAGGAAUACUGCUAAACUAGAGGGCGGGAGAGGUCUGAGGUACUACAGGGGUAGGGGUGAAAUCUUAUAAUCCUUGUAGGACCACCAGUGGCGAAGGCGUCAGACUGGAACGUGCCUGACGGUGAGGGACGAAAGCCAGGGGAGCGAACCGGAUUAGAUACCCGGGUAGUCCUGGCCGUAAACGAUGCAUACUAGGUGAUGGCAUGGCCAUGAGCCGUGUCAGUGCCGUAGGGAAACCGUUAAGUAUGCCGCCUGGGAAGUGCGGUCGCAAGGCUAAAACUUAAAGGAAUUGGCGGGGGAGCACCACAAGGGGUGAAGCCUGCGGUUCAAUUGGACUCAACGCCGGU
rnacentral:rRNA from 1 species